CGCCCGAAUUCGUAAUUCAUCUCCUCCUGCUCCUCGUUCUGGAAAAAGCGCGCAGAUUCUGCGUAGAAACAGGCGAUCGGGAAUUAAAACGCUGUUUAUUCUGACAGCCGUGUGGAGACCUCUGCGCCAUGGAGUAAUGCUUUCAUGGAGACAUGCUUGGAAUUAGAGCGUUCCGCUUGUCACAUGAUUGCUUCUGCCCAAUGACAAUUUAGGUGUUUUUUUUCUUCUUCUUUUUUUUUCUCUUUUUAUCAAGAGAAGUCACCGUCACUCUUGUGAUUGAUCGAGAAGGUCUGAAGGGGACCGCCUCAUUCUGGGGUUUUAUUUACAUUUUUCUUUUGGAAGGAGGUGGUGGGAGGGGGGGUCUGUUUGUUCGCCAUUGCUCCUCUCCCUCCAAAUCAAUCCCUUUCAACGCCUCCGAAACACAUACCAGCACAGGCAGAGAAGGUUGUAGAAUAAAUGAUGCUCAGGGGCAAGCUCUACCCCCCAACCCCCAAUUAUUAAUCCAUUCUGCAAACCAUGAAAACAUUAUUUUAUUAUGUAUCUAAUCAGUUAUUUUAGUUAGUCAAAGAUCAUUUUUCAACCGCUGGACUGGAUUAACAGUUUUUGGUUUUUUUUUUGAGAAAUACAUUUUGCCGGCUCUUUAGUAAGAUUGUUUUAUGUGCUUUGUGUUCAUCACAUAUUUUACAGGAAAUGACAGGCCGGGCUUUGAUUCACAACACUUUAUUAUGUUGACUGCAUUUACUUAUAGUUUUUAAUAACAUGAAAAAAAUAAUAAUAUAUUAAUAUUGUACAUAUAUAAAGACACAUGUACAUUAUACAUAAUAUACAUGUAUAUAUUAUCUUACCUUCCUUACCUUACCUUAUGCUUUUUUCCCCAUUAGUGCUUCAAUGUGAAUGUCUUGACCACAUUCUCAAAUGAUACCAAACAUUUUGUAAUAUUACAGUACUUUCUAAUCGUGGACACUACCUGUUAGUGGGACAAAAUAACAUGUUCUAACAUACUGAAUGAGCAACAUUAUAUUAUGUUAUUGCUUUGGGUUUGUCUUCCCCUGCGUUUUAGUGGCCACCACUUAUGAAACUUCCUGGAAACGCCCCUGGCCACAGGCCGCCAGUAUUUGGCACGUCUGCGCAAAUUGCGCAUCUCAUAAUGUGUUUUCUGAAAGGUGAAUUGUUUUCUAACGCGACCCUUAAAUCAUCAAGCGUUUGGGAUACUGACACAGUCUCUGUCAAUAAGGCGCUCAUCUUCAGUCUUUCUUGACGGAGGAAAACGCUGCAGACACAUGAAAGGACAUGUCCACCCCUCCCCCAACACUAACAGAAGCUGAUGCGCAGAAAAUCUACUGUUAAUAGCUUUGGAGAGAUUUCUGAUUUCACAAUUCGAUGUAGUGUUGAUGUGAUGUGUGUUUACGGUUAACAUCUGGAGAUCAAAAUCGUGUUAAAAUGUCAUUGUCUGCAGUUGUAAUUUACUUGCGCUGCUUAAAUAUUCUUCAUCCUGCAGUGAUCCAGUGAGGACGUUGACCCGAGCCUCCUGUGAUCUGCAGAGGUUUGUCACUGCAAUGCUGCUGCAGGAAAGAUGCAGGGAUCUGAAGGCUGUUUAUUCCUCUGCCUCCAAACAAAGAGCCCGGGUAGCCUGAGUGUGAUCAAUCUUUCCAGCCAAAAAGGUCUGACAGCUCUCUGCCAGAGAACACAGCUGAACCAUCCAACACUCCUUAGAUCAUAUGGUGCCAGGAAGAGCGCAGCCGCGCUGGCUCUGGGGCGCUGGCUUUAUUUUAGUUUCUUUUAAAGACUAUUAUCAAGAAAUUACAAACUUUAUAUUUGGAAUCCAAGUGCUUUGAGAGAGAUAAAACUUCUUCUUUAUUUGUCGGUUACGAAAAACGGGAAUUAUAUUAAAAAAAACGGAGGUGAUAACUGGACUGUCAAUUUUUUUUUUUUUUGCAAGGAACGGAGCAGCUUUUGUCAUUAAGGAUCAAUUGUUCGCUGAGACGUUUUCCGGGCGGACCAGGGAGCGCCCCGUUUCCCGUCUGCUCUGGAGACAUCUGGGAGGCAAAGAGGCCAAAAAAAAAAACUGCAGCCACGCAUCCACACGGACACAGAGUCUUUUAUAGCGAUGAUAUUUCUGUCACCAUGCAGGCGCAGAUGUUAUUUUCAUUCUAAGUAAUAAAAAAACAGCAAAUCUGAAAUGG